CAGAAAAUAGUUUAUGAAAAAUGUUAGUUUUGGGUACUUUUGAUGAGAAGAAAAUUCUCUUUUCUGA
rnacentral:tRNA from 1 species